UACGGGGGGGGCAAGCGUUGUUCGGAAUUACUGGGCGUAAAGGGCUCGUAGGUGGCCAACUAAGUCAGACGUGAAAUCCCUCGGCUUAACCGGGGAACUGCGUCUGAUACUGGAUGGCUAGAGUUUGGGAGAGGGAUGUGGAAUUCCAGGUGUAGCGGUGAAAUGCGUAGAUAUCUGGAGGAACACCGGUGGCGAAGGCGGCAUCCUGGACCAACACUGACGCUGAGGAGCGAAAGCCAGGGGAGCAAACGGG
rnacentral:rRNA from 1 species